AGCAGCCACUCAUUAAAAGAGUGCGUAAUAGCUCACUGGUCGAGUGACUCUGCGCGGAAAAUAUAACGGGGCUAAGCAUGAAACCGAAGCUUGGGCUUGUCGUAAGACAGGGGUAGGGGAGCGUCGAGUAUGGGGUGAAGUCAGAGCGAGAGCACUGGUGGACUGUACUGGAGUGAGAAUGCCGGAAUGAGUAGCGAGAAUUAUGUGGGAAUCAUAAUGGCCGAAAAUCUAAGGUUUCUUGGGGAAGGUUCGUCCGCCCAAGGUAAGUCGGGAGCUAAGGCGAGGCCGAGAGGCGUAGUCGAUGCACAUACGGUAGAAAUUCCGUAACCACCGAAACUUAAGUCAGAGGGACACUUUGGAAUAGCAGAACCCGGGCGUUGGUUGACCCGGGCGUAAGGGAGCGAAACUAUAGUAGCGAAGUCUGCGAUGUCCAGAGGCGAGAAAAGCUCUGAGGAAUGCUAAGGUGCCCGUACCGCAAACCGACACAGGUAGAUGAGGAGAGAAUCCUAAGGCCAACGGGAGAAGGGUUGUUAAGGAACUCGGCAAAUUGACCCCGUAACUUCGGGAGAAGGGGUGCUCCAGAGAUGGAGCCGCAGAGAAUCGGCCCAAGCAACUGUUUACCAAAAACACAGGUUUGUGCUAAAUCGAAAGAUGACGUAUACGAGCUGACGCCUGCCCGGUGCUGGAAGGUUAAGAGGAGAUGUGCAAGCAUUGAAUCGAAGCCCCAGUGAACGGCGGCCGUAACUAUAACGGUCCUAAGGUAGCGAAAUUCCUUGUCAGGUAAGUUCUGACCCGCACGAAUGGCGUAAUGAUUUGGGCACUGUCUCAACAGCCCGCCCGGCGAAAUUGUAGUACUGGUGAAGAUGCCAGUUACCCGCAACUAGACGGAAAGACCCCAUGGAGCUUUACUGCAGCUUAAUACUGAAAUUCGGUAGUACAUGUACAGGAUAGGUGGGAGACUGAGAAAUACAGGCGUCAGCUUGUAUGGAGUCGCUGUUGGGAUACCACUCUUGUACUGCUGAGUUUCUAACCUGCGGCCGUGAAUCCGGUCGGGGGACACUGUUAGGCGGGCAGUUUGACUGGGGCGGUCGCCUCCCAAAAGGUAACGGAGGCGCUCAAAGGUUCGUUCAGCACGGACGGAAAUCGUGCAAUGAGUGUAAACGCAUAAACGAGCCUAACUGCGACACCGACGGGUGGAGCAGUAACGAAAGUUGGAGUUAGUGAUCCGGUGGUAUGUGAGUGGAAAUGCCA
rnacentral:rRNA from 1 species